rnacentral:tRNA from 1 species
GCUGCGUGUGGAUCGGUGCCGGUCAGUACGCGAUUGCGGCGGACGAGGGGCGUCGCGGGCGGGACGCGGGUUCGAUUCCCGCGCCCGGUC